rnacentral:rRNA from 1 species
GACGAACGCUGGCGGCGUGCUUAACACAUGCAAGUCGAACGGAAAGGCCCUGCUUUUGUGGGGUGCUCGAGUGGCGAACGGGUGAGUAACACGUGAGUAACCUGCCCUUGACUUUGGGAUAACUUCAGGAAACUGGGGCUAAUACCGGAUAGGAGCUCCUGCUGCAUGGUGGGGGUUGGAAAGUUUCGGCGGUUGGGGAUGGACUCGCGGCUUAUCAGCUUGUUGGUGGGGUAGUGGCUUACCAAGGCUUUGACGGGUAGCCGGCCUGAGAGGGUGACCGGCCACAUUGGGACUGAGAUACGGCCCAGACUCCUACGGGAGGCAGCAGUGGGGAAUAUUGCACAAUGGGCGGAAGCCUGAUGCAGCAACGCCGCGUGCGGGAGGACGGCCUUCGGGGUGUAAACCGCUUUCGCCUGUGACGAAGCGUGAGUGACGGUAAUGGGUAAAGAAGCACCGGCUAACUACGUG